UACGAAGGGGGCUAGCGUUGCUCGGAAUCACUGGGCGUAAAGCGCACGUAGGCGGGUCGUUAAGUCGGGGGUGAAAUCCUGGAGCUCAACUCCAGAACUGCCUUUGAUACUGGCGAUCUCGAGUCCGGGAGAGGUGAGUGGAACUGCGAGUGUAGAGGUGAAAUUCGUAGAUAUUCGCAAGAACACCAGUGGCGAAGGCGGCUCACUGGCCCGGUACUGACGCUGAGGUGCGAAAGCGUGGGGAGCAAACAGG
rnacentral:rRNA from 1 species